AUUAUAGUUUGAUCAUGGCUCAGAUUGAACGCUGGCGGCAGGCCUAACAACAUGCAAGUCGAGCGGUAGAGAGAAGCUUGCUUCUCUUGAGAGCGGCGGACGGGUGAGUAAUGCCUAGGAAUCUGCCUGGUAGUGGGGGAUAACGUUUCGGAAACGGACGCUAAUACCGCAUACGUCCUACGGGAGAAAGCAGGGGACCUUCGGGCCUUGGCGCUAUCAGAUGAGCCUAGGUCGGAUUAGCUAGUUGGUGAGGUAAUGGCUCACCAAGGCGACGAUCCGUAACUGGUCUGAGAGGAUGAUCAGUCACACUGGAACUGAGACACGGUCCAGACUCCUACGGGAGGCAGCAGUGGGGAAUAUUGGACAAUGGGCGAAAGCCUGAUCCAGCCAUGCCGCGUGUGUGAAGAAGGUCUUCGGAUUGUAAGCACCUUUAAGUUGGGAGGAAGGGCAGUUACCUAAUACGUAAUUGUUUUGACGUU
rnacentral:rRNA from 1 species